rnacentral:tRNA from 1 species
GACUUCUUAGCUCAGUCGGUAGAGCACAUCCCUUUUAAGGAUGGGGUCCUGGGUUCGAGCCCCAGAGGAGUCACUA